GGUUAGUUUUACCCUACUGGUGGCAUUUACACUGUUGGUAUGGCAUUCCUCUGCAGUACGAGAGGAACCACAGGUACGAACCAAUGGCCCAAUACUUGUCCGAGCGGACAUUGGUAUGAAGCUACGUUCGUCG
rnacentral:ncRNA from 1 species